ACUCCUGCGGGAGGCAGCAGUGGGGAAUUUUGGACAAUGGGCGAAAGCCUGAUCCAGCAAUGCCGCGUGAGUGAAGAAGGCCUUCGGGUUGUAAAGCUCUUUUGUCAGGGAAGAAACGGUGAGAGCUAAUAUCUCUUGCUAAUGACGGUACCUGAAGAAUAAGCACCGGCUAACUACGUGCCAGCAGCCGCGGUAAUACGUAGGGUGCAAGCGUUAAUCGGAAUUACUGGGCGUAAAGCGUGCGCAGGCGGUUUUGUAAGUCUGAUGUGAAAUCCCCGGGCUCAACCUGGGAAUUGCAUUGGAGACUGCAAGGCUAGAAUCUGGCAGAGGGGGGUAGAAUUCCACGUGUAGCAGUGAAAUGCGUAGAUAUGUGGAGGAACACCGAUGGCGAAGGCAGCCCCCUGGGUCAAGAUUGACGCUCAUGCACGAAAGCGUGGGGAGCAAACAGGAUUAGAUACCCGAGUAGUCCCAU
rnacentral:rRNA from 1 species